rnacentral:rRNA from 1 species
AACGAACGCUGGCGGCAUGCCUAACACAUGCAAGUCGAACGAGACCUUCGGGUCUAGUGGCGCACGGGUGCGUAACGCGUGGGAAUCUGCCCUUGGGUUCGGAAUAACAGCGAGAAAUUGCUGCUAAUACCGGAUGAUGACGUAAGUCCAAAGAUUUAUCGCCCAAGGAUGAGCCCGCGUAGGAUUAGCUAGUUGGUGAGGUAAAGGCUCACCAAGGCGACGAUCCUUAGCUGGUCUGAGAGGAUGAUCAGCCACACUGGGACUGAGACACGGCCCAGACUCCUACGGGAGGCAGCAGUGGGGAAUAUUGGACAAUGGGCGAAAGCCUGAUCCAGCAAUGCCGCGUGAGUGAUGAAGGCCUUAGGGUUGUAAAGUUCUUUCGCCGAUGAAGAUAAUGACGGUAGUCGGAGAAGAAGCCCCGGCUAACUUCGUGCCAGCAGCCGCGGUAAU